UAACCCAGGGACCGAGACCCAGAGUACUACGUGCCCUCAGAUGUCAUAACUCCUCACUGGGUUUGCAGCAGAUAGAUGAGAGCUGGUGUAAGACUACAAUGAUGAAGAAACUGAAGCAGAGAAAUAAGGAAUUUGUCCAAAUCUCACAGCAGUGUUAGCACAGUUCAGAGGACCAAGAAGCUGAGGGAUAGUGCAAUGUGAGGCAGUACCCU
rnacentral:lncRNA from 10 species